UAGAUACCCUGGUAGUCCACGCCGUAAACGAUGGAUACUUGCUGUUGGGCUUUCGGGUUCAGUGGCUAAGCGAAAGUUAUAAGUAUCCCACCUGGGGAGUACGUUCGCAAGAAUGAAACUCAAAGGAAUUGACGGGGGCCCGCACAAGCGGUGGAGCAUGUGGUUUAAUUCGAUGAUACGCGAGGAACCUUACCAAGGCUUAAAUGCAAUUUGACAGAUCUAGAAAUAGAUUUUUCUUCGGACAGACUGC
rnacentral:rRNA from 1 species